GACGAACGCUGGCGGCGUGCUUAACACAUGCAAGUCGAACGGAAAGGUCCUGCCUUGGUGGGGUGCUCGAGUGGCGAACGGGUGAGUAACACGUGGGUAACCUGUCCCUGACUGUGGGAUAACUUCAUGAAACUGGGGCUAAUACCGGAUAGGAGCUCUUGCUGCUGGGUGGGGGUGGGAAAGUUUCGGCGGUUGGGGAUGGACUCGCGGCUUAUCAGCUUGUUCGUGGGGUAGUGGAGGACCAAGGCUUUGACGGGUAGCAGGCCUGAGAGGGUGACCGGAUACAUUGGGACUGGGAUGCGGCACAGCCUCCACCCGGAGGCAGCAGAGGAGAAUAUUACACAAUACGCGGGAGCCUGGUGCAGCAACGCCGCGUGCGGGAUGACGGCCUUCGGGUUGUAUUCCGCAUUCGCCUGUGACGAAGCGUGAGUGACGGUAACGGGUAAAGAAGCACCGGCUAACUACGUG
rnacentral:rRNA from 1 species